rnacentral:rRNA from 1 species
AUGGCCGCGCCCAUGGCCUCGCCGCUCACGGCCGUCGCCCGCGCCGCCCGCGUCCACCCCGUCUCCUGCUCCGCCUCCUCCUCCUCUGCCAAGAACCCCAAGCAGUCGUCGUCGUCGUCGUCUUCGCCGCCUGCUGUGCCGUCGCUGAGGUCCACGGCGGUGGCGUUGGCGGGGGCGGUGCCGCUGCUGGCGGCGCUCCCGCCGCCGGACGCGAUGGCGGUGGGCGGCGAGCUGGGGAUCAUCGAGGGCCGCACCGUCGCGCUGCUGCACCCGGCCAUCAUGGGCGGCCUCUUCGCCUACACGCUCUGGGCGGGCUACCUCGGCUGGCAGUGGCGCCGCGUCCGCACCGUCCAGGACGAGAUCACCGAGCUCAAGAAGCAGGUCCGCCCCGCCGCCGCCGCCACCCCGGCCGCGGUCGGCGCCGGGGACUCCGCCCCGCCCCCGCCCCCCGCCGCCAAGUCCCCCACCGAGAUCAAGAUCAACGAGCUCACCGAGGAGAGGAAGAAGCUGGUGAAGGGCGGGUUCCGGGACCGGCACUUCAACGCGGGGUCGAUCCUGCUGGGCCUGGGCGUGACGGAGUCCGUCGGCGGCGCGCUCAACACCUGGCUCCGCACCGGCAAGCUCUUCCCGGGCCCGCACCUGUUCGCGGGGGCGGCCAUCACCGUGCUCUGGGCGGCGGCCGCGGCGCUGGUGCCGGCGAUGCAGAAGGGGAACGAGACGGCCAGGAGCCUGCACAUCGCGCUCAACACCAUCAACGUCCUGCUCUUCAUCUGGCAGAUCCCCACGGGGCUCGAGAUCGUCGGCAAGGUCUUCGAGUUCACCAACUGGCCAUGA